rnacentral:lncRNA from 1 species
UCUUCUCCUCACGUACUCCAUCUUCUGCUCCUCAUCUACUCUUUUUCUCCUCUUCUUCUCAAUCUCAACUUAUCUCCUUUGCUCAAUCUCCAUUCAUCUCCAUGUCUAUCCCUACUCUACCUCCAUUCACACCUGCCGUCGUUAGCAUUAGUCGCCAUUGUCGUAGAGACCAAGCCGAUUUCAUGACUCUCUGUUUCAUCUUCUUUCUUCAUCGUUUGUGAAGAAGCAAGGUGUUUCACUCCUCUUCUAAUCUCUUUCUCUGCAUCUCUUAAGCUAUUUCUAAUUGUUUUUCUUUGUUUUGUUUACAGAUCUGAGAAGAAGCAGACACGUCGGAGGUGGUGGCGUGACGGAGGAAACGCGCUGGAGGUGGUAUCGUGACGGAACAGACAUGCCGGAUCUGGUGGUGUGAUGAAGGAAACGCGACGGAGAUGGUGGUGAAGCACUGAAGCUACGGCGGUGGAGGUGCUGAAGCCGACGGUGACAUUCCUCUGUACCCGUAUAGAUGACGAUGUAUUUGUGUGUAUAUCUGUGUAUUUGUGUAAUAUAUAUAAUAAUGAUAAUUUAAAAC